UAUCAAGCUACUACGAGCUUAUAGUGGAUGGCUAGGCUGAGGUAGGCGAUGAAGGGCGUGGCAAACUGCGAUAAGCUACGGGGAGGUGUAAGCAACCUGUGAUCCGUAGAUUCCCGAAUGGGGAAACCCGUCAGAAGUAAUGUUCUGACAUCUUUCCUUGGAAAAGGAAAGGGGCGAACCUGGAGAAGUGAAACAUCUCAGUAUCCAGAGGAAAAGAAAUCGUAAGAGAUUCCCUUAGUAGCGGCGAGCGAAAAGGGAAGAGCCCAAAUUUAACAGGUGUAAAAGCCUGCCGGCGUUGCCUGUUAGAGGUCGUGGGGUUCUUACGGAAAACGCGGCAGAGUUUUCGGGAAGUUAUCAAUCCUCUUUGUAUCCGAAUCUACUGGAAAGUAGAGCCAUAGAAGGUGAAAGCCCUGUAGGAGAAACAAAGAGGACUUCCUGGUAAGGAUUCCCAAGUACCACGAGGCACGGGAAACCUUGUGGGAAUUUGCCCUGACCACAGGGUAAGGCUAAAUACUCACCUCAGACCGAUAGUGAACUAGUACCGUGAGGGAAAGCUGAAAAGACCCCCGGUGAGGGGUGUGAAAUAGAACCUGAAACUAUAAGCUCACAAAGCGGUCGGAGUCCGCCUCAGGCGGAUGACGGCGUACCUUUUGCAUAAUGGUCCAGGGAGUUAUCCUACUCUACAAAUCUAAGUCUUCUGUGAAAGCAGAAGAUGGAGGUAGAGGGAAACCGAGUAUGAAUAGUGCGGUUAAGUAGAGUGGGAUAGACUCGAAGCCAGUCGAUCUACCCAUGACCAGGGUGAAACCCUGAGAAAUCAGGGUGGAGGCCCGAACCGGUGUAGGUUGAAAACUGCUCGGAUGAGUUGUGGGUAGGAGUGAAAGGCUAACCAAGACUGGUGAUAGCUAGUUCUCCUCGAAAUAGCUUUAGGGCUAGCCUCAAGGUUGCCCUUAGGGGGUAGAGCACAGGAUGGGCUAGGGUUCGCUAAGCGGAUACCAAACCCAACCUAACUCCGAAUACCUAAGGAGUGUACCUUGGGAGUAAGACUGCGAGGGAUAAGCUUCGUAGUCGAAAGGGAAACAGCCCGGACCGCCAGCUAAGGUCCCUAAAAGUAAACUAAGUGGUAAAGGAUGUGGAGUCACUAAGACAGCCGGGAUGUUGGCUUAGAGGCAGCCAUCAUUUAAAGAGUGCGUAAUAGCUCACCGGUCGAGUGGCUCUGCGCCGAAGAUGAUCGGGGCUUAAGUUUACUACCGAAGCUGCGGGUCGCUAAGGAUUUAUUCCGAGGCGGCGGUAGAGGAGCAUUCUGUAAACGCUGAAGCUCUCACGUAAGUGAGGGUGGAGUUUACAGAAGAGAGUAUCCUGGAAUGAGUAGCGAAAACUCCGAUGAGAAAUCGGAGCGCCGAAAUCCUAAGGUUUCUCCGUCAAUGUUAAUCAAACGGAGGUUAGGCGGUCCCUAAGUUGAACCCGCAUCAAGCGGGGUAGACGAUGGGAAAGUGGGUUAAUAUUCCCACCCUACCUAUAAACGCUAACUUAAAAAGUGACGCAUAAGGUGCGGUGAGCGAACUGUUGGAUGUGUUCGUCCUUGCCUUUAUAAAAAGGCAGGGGGAGCCUGCGCUACGGCAAAGGCGAACUCACCAGAACCGAGUGCCAAGAAAGAGCUUUUUAAGUUGUUUAUAGGUGACCGUACCGGAAACCGACACAGGUAGGAUGCCAGAAUAUGGUAAGGCGCUCGGGAGAACCCUCGCUAAGGAACUCGGCAAGUUAGCCCCGUAAGUUUGCGAGAAGGGGUCCCCAAUGAAUCCCUAUUUUUGUAGGGAGUAAAUUGGGGCGCAGUGAAGUGGCUCCCGGGACUGUUUAGCAAAAACACAGGUCCCUGCUUAACUCGCAAGAGGAUGUAUAGGGACUGAGACCUGCCCAGUGCCGGAAGGUUAAGGGGAUCUGUUUCAAAAGCAGAGAACCGAAGCCCCGGUGAACGGCGGCUGUAACUAUAACAGUCCUAAGGUAGCGAAAUUCCUAGUCGGGUAAGUUCCGACCCGCACGAAAGGUUUAACAACGGGAGCACUGUCUCGGCGAGGAUCCCGGUGAAAUUGUAGUGGCGGUGAAGAUGCCGUCUACUCGCAGUGGGACGAAAAGACCCCGGAACCUUUACUGCAGGCUGGUAUUGAAUUUUGGUUCAAUAUGUGUAGGAUAGGUGGGAGGCAGAGAAGUUCUCGCGCUAGCGGGAAUGGAGCCGACGGUGAAAUACCACCCUUAUUGUACUAAAAUUCUAACCCCUUUUUAAAAACAAAAGGGGGAAAGUGCCAGUUGGGCAGUUUAACUGGGGCGGUUUCCUCCUAAAGAGUAACGGAGGAGCCCAAAGGUAGGCUCAGGUGGAUUGGAAACCCAUCGUUGAGUGUAAAGGCAUAUGCCUGCCUGACUGUGAGGCCGACAGGCUGAACAGAGCGGAAACGCGGGCUUAGUGAUCCGGUGGUUGCACGUGGGAGCGCCAUCGCUCAACGGAUAAAAGGUACUCCGGGGAUAACAGGCUGAUCGGGCCCGAGAGUUCACAUCGACGGCCCGGUUUGGCACCUCGAUGUCGGCCGGAGAGUAGGGUAAUACCGAGGGAAGGUGGGUAAUUAUUCCUCUGAUAACUUUGCUUAUAUUACUCUGAUGAAGGAAAAAUUGGUAAAGGGGUAUAAUUACCUUACCCCCGUAGAGACUUCUUCCCUAUGAGGAAGGGAGUCAUCCCCUGAAGAAGUUUUCUUCAAAUCUAUGGGAUGGCUAAUACGCCAACCUCCUCUUUCUUUAACCAGAAAGAGGAUGAAGGUAUAGUCCAUGCCACUGGUAACAGUGGAGGAACAUGCGUGAGACAGUUCGGUCUCUAUCCACUGUGAGUGCAAGGAUUCCUGAAGAGGGGCUAUCCCUAGUACGAGAGGACCGGGAUAGGGAAACCGCCGGUGUACCAGCUAUCGCGCCAGCGGUAAAGGCUGGGUAGCCGUGUUUCUACGAGAUAACCGCUGAAGGCAUCUAAGCGGGAAGCUUUCCUCAAAACUAGGAAUCCCUUCCUGUCCUUUACGGGACAGGAUGAAGGCCGGUGGGAGACUACCACCUAAAUAGGAUAUCAGUGUAAGCACAGUAAUGUGUUGAGCUGAAUAUUCCUAAUGGCCGAUCGGCUUGAUAUC
rfam:Candidatus Omnitrophica bacterium 4484_70.1 ex4484_70.1_scaffold_6487, whole genome shotgun sequence.